rnacentral:rRNA from 1 species
AUGAUGGAGUGCAACAGAGAAGAGGCUUCCAUGGCCAGGGACAUUGCUGCAAAGAAGUUGGAAGAUAAAGACUUCGCUGGUGCCCGAAAGAUUGCACUUAAAGCUCAGAUGCUAUUUCCAGAGCUUGAAAAUAUAUCUCAGCUGUUAAGUGUUUGCACUGUACACUGUGCAGCAGAGGCAAGGGUGAAUGGAGAGCCGGACUGGUAUGCAAUCCUUCAAGUGGAGGCAACAACAGAUCAUGCUAACAUAAGAAAGCAAUACCUCAGGCUUGCCUUUUCACUCCAUCCCGAUAAAAACUGUUUUCCUGGUGCUGAAGCUGCUUUCAAGUUGGUUGCUGAAGCUCAUUCAAUAUUGUGUGAUCAAACAAAGCGAUCUCAUUAUGAUAUCAGAAGGCAGUAUGCUUCCAGAAAAGUGUCGAAGCAAGCUACACAGCAACAAAAGAAGAGUGGCACAAGCAAAUGCGAUGUACCUGGGCAUGUACAGACUUUUUGGACCAUAUGUGCUCAUUGUCAGAUGCGAUAUCAGUAUCACAACCAUGCCCUAAACACUCUGAUCCGCUGUCUGAACUGCGAAAAUAAUUUCUUUGCAUACAAGUACAACUUACAAGAACAGUAUGCGCCGCCUUCAUCGAGUGUACCCACUAAUUCUCAAGUUCCAACGAAGACGUUUCCAAGUCAACAAGGCCGCCGUGUGAAGCUUUCUUCUGCACAGGAAACCACAGGUGCGAAUCCAAGGAUGAAUGUGGCCCAAGGUGACGGUUACAUGAAAGGGUAUAGCAGGCCAACCAUGGGCGAGAAAGCUAGUCAGUCAAGAACGACAAGCGGGCAAAGUCAAUUUUCAGCAAUGAAUCAAGAAAAACCUGCUGUACCGACUGCAAAUGAACAUAUGGGUGGAUGGUCAAUACCAGAUCCUCCUGAUCCAAGCAUCAUUGGCAGACCAAAGUCAGGUAGAGCAGAUGCAUCUGCAGCUUCAGAUGCUAUGAAUGUCCCUAGUCAGUCAAGAACGACAAGCGGGCAAAGUCAAUUUUCAGCAAUGAAUCAAGAAAAACCUGCUGUACCGACUGCAAAUGAACAUAUGGGUGGAUGGUCAAUACCAGAUCCUCCUGAUCCAAGCAUCAUUGGCAGAGCAAAGUCAGGUAGAGCAGAUGCAUCUGCAGCUUCAAAUGCUAUGAAUGUCCCUGGUCCUGCAAAGCUUUCAUCUACAGGUGUUAACACAUAUGCCAAAAUAAGGAUAAAUGUGGCAGAAUGCGAUAUAAAAGGGCAUGACAAUCCUAGUGGCGAGAAGGAAGCUAACCAGUCGUAUAUUACAAAGGGGAAAGUUGAAAUUCCAGCAAAGACUCAAAGUAAAUCUUCUGCCCAAACUGUAAACAUGAACACAGGUGUUUUUGACAGAAAGAACUCGGGUAUAGAGGAUGCAUCUACAGUGUUAAAUGCUGCAGGAUCCCCUGUUCUCCGGAGAUCAGCUAGGAGGACGCAAGAUGCUGAUGGCAGUAGUAGCCUCAACUAUAAUAGCAAAAAGAAGCGAAGAAAGAACAAUUGUCCAUCUAAUGCUGAUUUGAAUGGGAAGCAGAUAUUUGAUGAUAAUGUCACUAACGUUGACAGGCAAUCGGUUCCAUCUGAUGUGUCUGGCAAAGUAGACAUCCAAGAGGAAGCUAAAACUCCAGAUAUAGGUGAUCAGGACAAUAUCAGGGCAGAAGUUACAGAUACUGUUGGUCAGAAUCAACCUUGCUAUUCUGUGAAGCUUUCUUUCCCUGACGCAGAAUUUUUCGACUUUGAGAAGUUGAGGGAUGCUAGUCUGUUUGAAACUGGUCAAAUCUGGGCCCUUUAUGAUAACCUUGAUGGCAUGCCGAGAUAUUAUGCUAGAAUAAAAAGUUUGGAUGCCUCCAACUUUAAAGUUCAUCUCACUUGGCUGGAGCGCAUUGCAAUGAACGAAGCAGAGGAGAAAUGGUCCGAUGAAGAACUGCCCGUUGCUUGUGGAAGCUUUAGCUUAGGAACAACAGAGAUAUCACAAGACAGACAAAUGUUUUCGCAUAUUGUUUCAUGGACAAAAGGUUUUAAACGAAGGAAAUAUGAAGUACAUCCCAAUAAGGGUGAGGUAUGGGCUCUUUAUAAGGGAUGGAACAUGCAGUGGGGAUCAGAUGCAGAUAAUCAUAGAUCCUAUGAAUAUGAAGUCGUGGAAGUCCUGUCAAAUUUCUCAGUUAGUGCUGGCGUUACUGUUGUCCCAUUGGUCAGGAUUGAAGGCUUUGUCAGUUUAUUUAUGACAGUUAAGGAUAAAUCUGAAAUUGUGGUAGCACCAAGUGAGCUACUUCGUUUUUCUCACAGUGUUCCGUUUUAUAGGACAAAUGGUAAUGAGAAAGUUGGUGUCCCUGGAGGUUUUCUGGAACUUGACACUGCAUGUCUCCCCAUUGACCUGGAUGCAGCGUUUCCUUGUGUUUCUCUUCACUCCUGCAUGUCCCCUGGCAAGAAAGAGGGCAGCACAUCCAUUGAUUUGAGCACUGACAGUGCAAGCAGUAGAGGAGAAAAUGAAUAUAUUUCUUCUGAGCCAAAGACAUCCUUGCAGAGAAAUCCCGAUGGUCCUAAUUCUUUAGGUGACUUCUCUGAGCAAAAUAGUCCCUCCUUAGUUUAUACAUAUCCUGAUUCUGAAUUCUAUAACUUCGAGGAAUGCCGCUCAUGUGAGAAGUUUGAACGUGGACAAAUAUGGGCUUUAUACAGUGAUGUUGACAACUUCCCUAAGUUCUAUGGCUGGGUAAGCAAAGUCGAGCUAGAACCUUUCAAAGUUUAUUUGACCUGGCUUGAAGCUUGUCCCCAAGUGGAGCAGGAGAAACAGUGGUUGGAGCAGGAUAUACCUGUCAGCUGUGGUAAAUUUAAAAUUCGAAAGUGGACAACCAUGUACGAAACAAACGAUACUUUCUCUCAUUUAGUAUGCACCGGACAUGACCCCAACCAGCAGAUUGAAAUUGUUCCGCAAGUAGGUGAGAUUUGGGUCAUCUACAUGAACUGGACACCUGACUGGACUCCCUCGAGCCCUCAUGCUUGCGGAUUUGAGAUCGGCGAGAUCAUUGAGCGCACUGAAGCUAGCACAAAAGUUUCUCUUCUUACUCAAGUCAAUGGUUACACAGCGGUGUUCAAGCCUGGCAAGCGAAAGAGAGUUGUGGAGAUACCUACAAGGCACAAUCUGAAGUUCUCUCACCGGGUGCCCUCGUUCUGUCUGACGGAAGAAAAUGGCGGCAAGCUCAGCGGCUUCUAUGAGCUGGAUUCAGCCUCUGUUCCAGAUGUCUUCCUUUACAAGGAUGCCCAAUGA